CAGGUGUUGCUCAGUGGCUCGUUAGGCUCUGCAGGCUCACAGAGCAGAAUAGCAGGUAACCCACAGGCUGGCAAGGUUCAGAGCAACCUAAAACUAAUGCCACAGUCCUCUUUAAUACACCAUUGCCUGGGAGACGGGAGGAUCUGGAGAUGGCUUCUACUUGCUACAACUGCUGCACUGGUCCAAUAUAAAUGACUCAAAAGGACCCUGCAAUGGGUUGAAGGUCCCUAUUGAUGUCAGUAUCUAACUCUGCCAGUGAUAUGGGACAGCAGCAAGUUCAUCUGCAGUUGAUGACAGCAGUACUUUGCUCUGGCUGCCAUCAGGGGAAAAAGCUCCCAUCUCAGAAGAUUUGGCUUUUAACUCUCAGGAUCACUGCCACCCAGUAGCAGCCUGUGCUUUAAGCACAAACCCAGCACUUGGUUCUUCUGUCUUCUGUUGGCGCUGGAGUUAUGACCCAGAUAGCUUGUUCUGGGUGGAUCCAUACCCUCAGACUGACUGUGACCGCUCCAUUCAAUAAUAAGUGAAUGUUAUUGAAAUGCAGUGAUAGCAGGAUACUGUCAGCUAAGCUGUUGCCAUGAGGUGCGGAGGAAGGAGAUCGCUAUUCCAGCCCGGCCCGCAGUAAACUACAGUGGUGGCUUGAAGGAGGGACUGCAGCAAAAGCAUAAUAGCCAUGACUUUCUCUGAUCCUGUAUCAGCAAAAAGGCUGAGGGCCAAUUAAUCAGCUUGUGGAGUGACACUGAAAUCAGUGGAAGUUACACCAGUAAAAAAAUUUGGUCCCAUGACCCUUCCUCUUAUAAAGGGGGCAUUUCACAGGGCAUCCAUGCACCAGACAAAACAAGACCCGGUUGAACUGACAACUCCCACUGCAUAGAGCAUGACAUCCGUGCAGGUUCAGCACAACAUAGUCUUGAUCCUCUGUGGCAGCGGGCAUCCUCCUAGCAUCCAAGGAGUCUGUGGUCCAGGCAGGUUGUCAUGUUCUGUGCAAGUCCUGUAUUCAGUCAUGGGGAGGUUGAUUGUAGCUGAAUCUGAAUUAUCAGGGAGUGCAGGGCUCCUAUCCUGUCCCCUAGACCAGACCCACCGAUUGGGAGCAGACUGUCUAUUGAAGAUCAAGGUGCAAUGCCAUCUGGAGGACAUGCAGACCUUGUCUUCACAGCCCAUCUUGCAUUAUUAACUAUCAAAACAGGUCUAAGUUACCCCCUUGUCGAGUCUCCUUAGUGUUUUCCAUUCCGUUUCCUUCCAUGGAUUGGUAUACCAGUUCUCAGUGCUCUACAAAGGGGCAAGCUCUUGAUUUUUUAAUUUUUUUUUGCACUAGCAAAAAAGCAAAGUUGACCUUCUUAAGAGCUGUUUAGGGUCCUGUUCAAAAAGAGGAUUUCCCCAAAACAUAGUCAAUGUGGGGUUUUUUUCUCCAGCUGGGCAGCCAUACCUUCUCUGCUUCCUGAUGGGGCACAUACCUUUCCUUUAUUCUUGGCAUCUGGUGCCUGGCAUGUUCAUUUCCAGUUCAUCUGUUCUUCCACUUGAGGGAAGACUGACUUCAGUCAUGAAGAUAAGACUCAGUCAUCCACAUGCCUAGAUGCAGGAGGCCUUGCCAGUUCUUGCUGCAUGAUCAUCACAUCACAAAGUGAUCCUGGUGUUAUAUGGAAGGACACAAAGACGUAUCUUCAUCUCCCAAUCUUGCUGGUCUUCAAGCAUGGCACCAAUGCUUAUUCUGUCUGCUCUCCUAUUACUUACAGAGGGAACAGCACCAACCUUCACCUUAUUUUUGGAGUUGUUGACAAACUUGUGUUAAAAUCACGAUUCAGGUUCCUUCCCUGAUCCUGCAGGUGCAGCAUGUUGGGCUGAACUGCUGCGGUGCACAUUAUCCAUGCACCCAUAUCCUUCGGUGGCUCUGACACCACCUUCUUGAAGAAGGUGCCACAAGCAACCAGCAAAUACCAAUUCCCAGGUGCUGUUUCUGGCACCAGUGGGCUUGUCAAGUCCAUCUGUAAGAAGCAGCCCCACAGUUUACUCGGCUGAGGCAUUUCUUGCAAAGGAUUUCCAAAAUCAGCCAAGCACACGCAGGUUCCACUCUCUUUAGCAAGACCAGUUGAUUUCUUCUUGGGCACAAUUGGUUUUGCCACCUUGGAUCCACAGUCACCAGUUACAAUACUCACUCACUUAUACAGCCCAAGGGACUCUGCAGUUAUAGACACUAUUGCACAAAAUAGGACUGACCUUUCUUCUAGUUCUACCCCAAUCAGAGACAACUGCGUAAUUUGAAAGGAAACAACAAUACCACGCCAGGAUAAUGAUACGGUCCCACCUGUAAUGAAGGUCACAGAUCAUUACAAUAGCCAAUUUAUAGCGUAGCAGUGUCCAAACGCCCCAACCAGGCUACCUAAAGAAUCUCCCUGUUCAUUAUAGAUGGUCUUAAACUUUCCGUGGAAAGGGUUUUUUUUUUCCCCAAAGAAAAUGGCUUUUCAAUGGAUCAGAAGUUGCUUGUAAGAAAACUGAUUUUCUCUGAAAUAGUGAAAAUCAAAUUUUUUUUUUUAAAUCACCGUUUUUCCUAAGAGGCAAAACCAGUUUUCCUCACCCUUUUUUAUUCCUAGGAGAGCUUAAUGAGUUGAAAUGAUCAGCCCCAUCAGGGGUGCAGGAGAGGAAAGGGGGGGAUCCCAGGUCUUCAGCCGUAUCUCCAAGUUGCAUGCAGGAGCUGAGCACUAUAGAAGCCAGUUGGAUUUGCCGCUGGGGAUCUGUCUGGGUUUUGGCAGCACCAACCCCCUGACCUAGCUGUCAAGGGAGCUGGCAGCUGGGUCAUGCUUGACUCUGGUCCAGAUGCUAUCAGGGUGAUCAUGCCAGGGUCCAAAAUACAUCUUGAUUUCAUAUUUGAUUUCUCUGGCCCUGCACAGUAAUCACCUCCUGGCUCGCCCACCCCUCCCUCGCUCACGUUCUCCUCCUGCUGCCGAACGGCAGACGGGAGAUUUCAUGUGCAAUAAAUAUUUAGAUUGCGCCUGUGUGUUUAUAACACUUGCCGAGAGUGUAACCGGAGCAGCUCGCGCUCUGCGGCGACACCUGAUGCUGGUGAAAGUUUUCCAUCACCUCAUGCGGGCUGAACGGCCGCAGCUCUGCGAGCAGAGCGGGCAUGUGGGACCAGUAGCUGUGUCUGCCGUGCCGCUUUCCCUCCCUUCUCCCGUGCCGGUGAAAUAAUAAUCAUCAUCAUCAUCAAAAAAAUAUAUAUAUGGUGAACAUUUUGUUUCAUUGUCCCUGAGGAACCUGUUAUUCCAAAAGAAAAUGGAAAAAACUAUGGCUCCGGCUGAGUCGGGCCAAGCCAGGCAGCGCUGGCCUUCCCGUUUAUAAAUGGCGGGGGUGGACUGGCAAACUAGCCCUUAACGCCAUUCUUGAUGGAGAAACUAGACUUCGCGGGCAUGUACGUGCUCUUCUCCAGCACCGCUGGCUCAGAGGCACUGGACAGCCCCGCAGUUUCCAGAGCAUCAGGCCUCUGAAGUGUUACACAAUGUUUUGUGCUUUAAUAAAUGUGUUUUUGCUAAUGUUUCUUUGGGGGAAAAUAUUUUUCUUUUGUUUCUCUGUGUAGUCUCUUUAGGACUUUUUGGGGAAGCGCAGCCAAUGGCAUUAGGCUUGCUUUCUUUUUUAUUUCUGGAGAGGGGGGGAGAAAAAGCAUUUGUUUUCAGUCCCUGCCCUUGCACAUAUUCCUCUUUCCCUCCUUGGUUGUCUACUCCUUGACUUUGCAACUGGGGAUAAAGGAUCACUUAUAUACUUAGAUUCUUCUUUGGGGGGCUGGUGGUUUGACACUUGUCCAUAAUGGGGUCUUCUCUGCCUCUUUCUCCAAAGCAUUUGACACUACUGUGGAUACAGGACCCCAGAGUAGAUGGAUGCUGGUCUCUUCCAGCUUGGCAGUUCUGACAUCCUUUAAUGACAACUCCUCACCAUCUAUGGCAGAUUUGAAAUUUGGUUCAGCAAGGUCCAAAACCUAGAAGGAAAUUACAAAAAAAGUAGAAAAGCCAACCCUUCCUCUUUCUAUUUUAGAACGGGGGGAUGAAGAGGAAACAUGAAUUCAAUUUUAUGUGGAUUAUAAGGCGCCUAUAAAGAGAGUCAUAUGAACUGAGACACUUGGCUCUGUUACCUUAAUGAUACCUAUGGUACAAUAUGUGAAAUCUAUUACACUAUUCUGGAUAUAUAUGUGUGUGUGUGUGUGUGUACAGAGAAGGGGAGGGGUAGAGAGAUGAAAUCUCGGGGCCUUUAUUUUUAUUGGCUUCUGCAAAGAAUAAAUUACACAGCAAGGGCAAGGUUAAAUUAUUGUAAAUGUCUGUUUGAAAGGCAUCACUUAAUUAUUAACAGUCCACUACAAAUAAAAAGUACAUAUGCUAAA